GGGCGUGUAGCUCAGCGGUAGAGCGCUGCCCUUACAAGGCAGAUGUCGGCGGUUCGAAACCGUCCACGCCCA
rnacentral:tRNA from 1 species